rnacentral:rRNA from 1 species
UGGUGAAAGCAUGUAGGCCGAGGAAUCAGGCAAAUCCGGUUCCUCCGAGGUCGAGAUGCGAGACGAACUGACCACGGUCAGGAAGUCAUCGAUGCCACGCUUCCAGGAAAAGCCUCUAAGCUUCAGAUCACAUGCGACCGUACCCCAAACCGACACAGGUGGUCAGGUAGAGAAUACCAAGGCGCUUGAGAGAACUCGGGUGAAGGAACUAGGCAAAAUGGCACCGUAACUUCGGGAGAAGGUGCACCGGUUCGA